CAACUUUCAACAACGGAUCUCUUGGCUCUCGCAUCGAUGAARAACGCAGCRAAAUGCGAUAAGUAAUGUGAAUUGCARAAUUCAGUGAAUCAUCRAAUCUUUGAACGCACCUUGCGCCCCUUGGWAUUCCRAGGGGCAUGCYUGUUUGGAGUGUCAUGGUAAUUCUCAMU
rnacentral:rRNA from 1 species